UACGUAGGGGGCAAGCGUUGUCCGGAGUUACUGGGCGUAAAGCGCACGCAGGCGGAUCGAUAAGUCGGGGGUGAAAGCCCGGGGCUCAACCUCGGAAUUGCCUUCGAUACUGUCGGUCUCGAGUCCGGGAGAGGUGAGUGGAAUUCCUAGUGUAGAGGUGAAAUUCGUAGAUAUUAGGAAGAACACCAGUGGCGAAGGCGGCUCACUGGCCCGGUACUGACGCUCAGGUGCGAAAGCGUGGGGAGCAAACAGG
rnacentral:rRNA from 1 species